UUUUAAUCUGUGCUAGGGUAUAGCAUAUGUGUGCCCUACAAACAGGGCAAUGUAUUCCUAGGGAAAAGGAGAAGAUGGUGAAGCCCUAGACGACCUAGAAGUUGUGUCGAAGUCUCCGCUAUUGUCGCUGAGGCACCGACUACGACAAUUUCACCAGUUUCUACGCACUGUUAUGGGCAGGUUCGCAUGGAAAACAUGUUCUCACAUGAAGAUUAUCGAGAUGCGGUGAGCGAAUCAUCAGCUCAUGAAGUGAGUGUUUUGUGAUGUCUUGAUUUACAACUCUCUACUCUAUUUCGCAAUUGUCCCUAACAGAUGCACCCUUUACGUAGUGAUCGGUAAAGUAGUCAGCGAAGCAACAAAGUACUUAUAGCCACUUUCUAGAGCAGGAUAAUCUGCUUCAAUACUAACAGUAGGAUCACAUCAAGCCUUUCAACAACGUCGACGUUAGGCAUUCACCUUCCGUUUCCGAUUACGUCUGUAGAACAAUUGUGGCAAUGGAGCGUUUCACAAUAAGUCUUAGUUGAUGCUGUGAAGUGCAGCAUUUGGUGCAGUUUUCAUGCAUCACUGUUGUCUUCCAUCAAAAACGAAACAACGUCGACAUGCUGGAGCAGGAGAAGAACUUCGACAGUAUUUCCCGAUAAGUUCAUUUUCUACAGAAGUUACGUAAUCCGGUGACUAUCAUUUGGUUCUGCUUGCGAUGCUGCUGGAGACGGCUGUAACAAUUAUUGGGUAUCCGUUCAAGCCUGACGUUUUCGGAUGCAUGAUGUUCAACAUCCUUUCUAGUUAUGGAGAGCAAUUGACUGCGACUCAUACAUAAGUUAUGUUCUCUCAGAUCUUUAGUCUCCCACACUGCUCUCAGGUAUACAGAUUCAUGUUGCUGGUUAAAUGUUUGUUGAACGAGUGCUUUGCUCAUCAAAUGCUUCCUCCAGCUCUUGCAAAAUUCCUGCUGCUCAAUACGUUGACCUUGCUAAAUUUCUGUCCGUCCAAGUCGUCCAUCUUUCAACUCCCAUCCCCGGCACACGAAUUGGGAGUCAAAGCUGCAGAUGCAAUAAAGGCAUCAGGUGUACUUCUUCACUCCUGUCAAAUUCUAGAAUCGUGAAGCAGAAGAAAUAUGGAAUGCUGAGUCUGUGAAAAUUGGAAGGAAUUUAACGGGUCUUGAUCACUGACGGCCAUGAAAAUUGUGUGUCGUAUAACUGAAAUGCAAUGGAUUUCCGUAUGAUAGGUCUCCAGGUAGCGUGGUUUUACAGUAUUGUCAGAAUCCAGUGUCAGUCCGUUCCUAUGGACAUGGACACAGGCUUCUGAAAUACGGUGGAUGCAAACCAGGACACAGAAACUCGAAUGUGGGUGAAAUCUCGUCAGCCACCAGAAUUUAUGGUGGAUUUUCAAGUGACAUCACUAAAUGAUGAUGCGCUAUAGAGCAUCUUUCAUCAUCUGUUUCAUCUCCUUUACACGAAAAAGUUUUAGAAGUCAAUCGGUUUGGGGUCUUCUUUGUGCUCACUUGUUGCUUGUAAUCUUAAUGUGCAGUACCGUGAAAGAAGGUCCCUGCAUAAAUGACGUGUUCAUUGUGUGCAUUGGUUCUGGGAUGGGACAUCUCAUGAGCUUGAAGUACAACUCUGCUGCAACUAUGGUGUUACUUGUGUACCAAUCAAUCGUCGUGGAGCACGAUGAUGAACAAGAGAUUGCGGUAUAUCCAGGAGCCUUACUCUGCAUUUAGUUGCCCUUUCAGGAGGCCUCUAUACGUCGACUUGGAGACGCUCCUGUACCCUUGCAUUGCUUUUUGCAGGGAGCUGCUGUAUGUUUGAUUUGCUGGGUUCAGCAGCCACGCUAUCAGGCUUUCCCGGAAGUACUACUGCAUCUCAUCAACAAUGUCGUGAAGCGUAUUUGAAAGCACUUAUACGACCUUCUACAUUUGUGACCGCAAAAAAGUUGGAAUGACUCACAUCAGUUAUAGCGUCGCAUCAUUUUCGAUCAUGAGGGUGCUCACACGCUGCAGAGAGGGAGCGCUGUACAAGAACAUACAGGUAGACCUCGUAACUAAAUUGUAGCUACCUGACUGAAAGCCUUUCAACCAACUGUGCAUAGUUAAUCUGGUAUCCUGCGAAACCCGACAAAAUCUGGCAACCAGGUACAAUAUAUGGACCUGGUUCAUUUGCACAAAACCACGAAUGCUUUUACGUUUUGAUCUGUAAAAAGUUUAACUUCAACUCAUGCUUGGCUGCACCAGACCACCAAAGCUACACCGUGGAGGCUAUUUCUUAACUCUUAUGUGUUAAAAAGUAGAACGGUUCGGUUUCAGGUUGUCAGAUUUCUACGAACUCAAACACAUGAGUCACUAACGCUCAUGUUCAGGUUACACAAGGAAACGUUAGACAUGCUUUUUGCUGAGAUUCUGUGUUACUCUCUGGGUGAUCAGGAAAGCUGGCAGCUUCGACGAUGUGCGCAUCAGCUUUCGGUCCACAUUGCUCAGCACCAGCACCUGUUCAUCAGCUGAAGCUCAUCUGGACGAGUUCCGGGGUCCUCAUACUCAGAAGCCACUCAGCGAAACGACAUAGUUUUUCUUAUUCCGGUGGUGGCCUGACAAGAUCUUCAUUGAUCUCUGGAUAACAGUGCACAGUUAUAUGCAAACAUUGCUGAAUUUCAUUAGUCUACAUGCGCUCCUCAGUGACCAGGUAAGGCCUACGAUUGAAGUUGAGAAGUUUGGUCGGUUCUCGCAAUUAAAAACACAUUCAAUAGUCAUAACAUGAAUACUCAGUCAUACCAUUAUUAGUAACUUUUAAGAUUGCCACAAUUAGAUGCUUGAAAUUCUAGAAAAGAAAAAGUUGGACACUUCCUAAUUUACACCAGCAGCAACAAGAUACCAGCAUCUUUCUCCAACAAGAAGGUACACAGGAAUACAGACCCACCGACGAGGCGGAUUAGGAUAACAGGGGAAAGGAAAGUGGGUCAAAAAUAGACGUUAGACUAAUGACAGCUUGGCCCACUCUCUAUAUUUCGGUUUGCCACCUCCUUUCCAUUUUGUUUCUAUUGGGUCAUGUUUCCUAUUUUAUUGUUACCUCCCUCUCACUUAAUCAUUUCCACUUUCGUGAAGGAUUACAAAUAGAAUGCCAGUUUCGUUUACACUUAAUCAAUCAACCCACAUUUUCCUGAUCUCUUGGUUAUUGGCAAACAUGAAUUUUUCUGCUAUAACCAGGACUUGUCUGGAUUUUCCCGUGAAUCUCGAACGUUCAAGAUUGCGAAAUCUUCCUAUUGUCUGCUUACUGAUCAUAGGGUUUAUCAAGCAGGAUAAAAAGAUGUUUAAAAAUAGCACUUAUAUUCCACCUGUUCGUCUCAUUAACUAGAUUCUGAUCUCAUGGCUUGUUUUUUCAGAGUAGACUUUAAGCUCCAUAAAUCCUUGUUGAUUCGUGGAAACUUACAGAUAAAUCUAUAUCUCAUCUGCUCUUGAUACACCCCGCCACAUAUGUCAAUAGGAAAUCUGGAUUUUGCAUGUUUGCUAAUUAUACACUCAACUGUGCUUUAAUGUUAGUCGUUCAAUAAAUACAUCGAACCUUAGCUAA